UUUUCCUAUUUUUUUUUUCCCUUCUUUCUCUUUCUUCUCCCCAUCUCUUUCGCGACCGUGUUCGUUCACUUCCCAAAAGCCGUGGGAUUUGCGAUUAACAAUCUCCGUUCGUUGCACUUUUUGAUUAAACAAUAUUCAGUCGGGUGAUGAUUAAGCAAUCAGAACAACACAGCAAAGGAUAAUGAUAAUUAUCACACUUUAGCCUUACUUGCUGCAUCUGGUUCGUUUUUGCAAAGUUAUGGUUCUAUGGCACGCCCACUACCACAAGUAUUACCAAUGGCUUCAGCCAUCAGUAGCGGUGGAAGUGGCGGUCGAUGAUGUAAACGACAAAGUGGUUAGCAUGGGGUUCCCAAGGGAUCAAGUGAGAUAUCUCUCAAUGUAUGAUAAUCGGAUCCUUGGCUACUUUAAAGGGCAUAAAGACAGGGUUGUAUCGCUUUGUAUGUCUCCUCAUGUCUGCUUCUCUCGACCGAAGUGUCAUACUCUGGGAUCUUCGUGUUAAUGCCUGCCAGGCUUACCCUUUUAGUCAAUAGGGAAUUCUACAUCUUCGUGGUAGGCCUGCAGUUGCGUAUGACCAACAAGGCCUGGUGUUUGCUAUUGCAAUGGAAGUAGGUGCUGUUAAGUUGUUUGAUUCCCGGUGUUAUGACAAGGGUCCGUUUGACACAUUUCUGGUGGUGUUGAUUAUUCUACAUUUACCUCAGAUGGGUUCUCGAUGUUCCAAGCAUUUAAGGUUCCAUCUCCUGAACCUGUAUCCGAAAAUGAAAACUUAUUGUGAGAACAUACUUGUCAUCUCGUGUGAAGGUGGUGGCUUCUAUGGAUGUACCUUGUGAAGGCUCCAAACUAAAACCACAUUUCUGCAAAACAACAUACCGGCUUUACCAAUUUAAACCUAAACUUAUGCCUUCUCCAAGCGAAAGAUACAGAAUGUGAUUACCUUCUCUCCACGAAAAACGUAGAUAUUGUUAUUCGUAGUUGUUAGGAGCAUGGAUUUUCCUUGUGCUUGUCACAGUAUCUAAAUUUGUCCGGGGUUUUGUGUAACAAUCAGGUGGCGAGGUGGGAGAACAAUAUAGGAGUAGUAUCGUGUCUGAAAUGGGCAUCUCGUAGAGCCAUGUUUGUUGCUGCUUCUACGGUGUAUGUAUUUUCUAAGUUGUUUGAUUCCCGGUGUUAUGACAAGGUUUGCUACUCUAUUAUGAUUCACACAGCCUUACACAUGACUGCUCUUUAAACCAA